GGUUGAUCCUGCCAGUAGUCAUAUGCUUGUCUCAAAGAUUAAGCCAUGCAUGUCUAAGUAUAAACAAAUCUAUACAGUGAAACUGCGAAUGGCUCAUUAAAUCAGUUAUAGUUUAUUUGAUAGUGCCUUACUACAUGGAUAACCGUGGUAAUUCUAGAGCUAAUACAUGCGCAAGGCCCCGACUUCAGGGAGGGGUGUAUUUAUUAGAUAAAAAACCAGCCCGGGCAACCGGAUCGUUGGUGAUUCAUAGUAAGAUUACGAAUCGCAUGGCCUUGGGCCGGCGAUGUUUCAUU
rnacentral:rRNA from 1 species